AUUGCUCAGUGGUAUCUUCCAUGAACAAACCAGUUCGAAUGUCCAUUCUCCUGUUAAGUGGACUUCAGGUCUGUUUCGAUCAUCUUUUCUCCUAGGUAAAUAUUCGGGAGGAAAGGCUGAUAGGGCUUUUCAACUUCUUAACAAAAAUUUCAAACUGCGUCCCACAGUGAUUGGACCAUUCCAUAUUCCCAGAAAAGGUAUACGAGUGUUCCAGUCUUUCUGCGUUCUUGCCUCUACUUGAGACUGUCUUUAUCACUUUAGAUUGCUGUUCAAGGAAAAUAGGAUGGCUUGGACUAUUAGCUAGAACGAACGCUAACUGACUCAUCUCCCAUGAUUUUACAAACAGAAGGUGAGACAGAGAGAAAGAUCUUCCAUCCACUGGUUCACUCCCCAAAUGGCUGCAAUGGCUGGAGCUGAGUUGAUCCAAAGCUGAGCCAAGAACCUGCUCCGGGUCUCCCAGGGCUCUCUUCAGCCUUCUAGGACCUGUUCUGACAACCCAGGCAAAGCCCACAGAGAUGGAGCAAGGUGGUCCUUGAGAAGGUG